GUCGUUGGGCUCCAGAUCUGGCGAAGAGAAAGCUUCGCUGUGACCGAAGGCAGAGCAGAGCAAGGAAGGAAUUAGUUACAUCAACAGCCCAAAAGCCAUGGACUCAUAAGCUCGUCUCCAAUAUCCUCCUCUCCUUACCCAGAUUCUUCUUCACUUCCCCACGUUCCAUUGGUGCGCAAAAGGAUCUGCCUUCACCUCCGUUGGUUACAGAGAAGCAGCAGUUCCAGGAGCGUUUCGACUUUCCCAACUCAUCCUCUCGGGAGUAAUCGAGUUUUGACGAGUUUUGUAUGAUUUGGUGAAGGCUGGAGCUUGUUUACAGAAGAUCCAGAAUUCAUCAAGAACAUCUCCUGUUCGUCUUUAAGUUUCAGAUUACACAGAAUUCACCAAGAACAGGUUGCUAGUUUCUAAGUCUUCCGGCAUUGAUCAUGAUGGAAGUAUCGAAGAAGAACACAGUUGUAUCCACUAACUGAUUAUGCUGGUGGUUUGAAAGCUGGAAGUAGGAUUAAAUUCAAGGAAAGCUAGUUUUAGGAAAAUCAGUUGUAACAGUUGUACCAAACGCAGUGAACAAGUCCUCAUCGAAGGAAGACACUUUGGAAAAGAAGAAGGCUUUCUUCUGGCACCUCUUCUAGCAAGAAGGGAGACGAGGAGGAUGUAAACGUCGAUUUGACAGAACAGAAGAAAGCCAAUGACGUUUAUUCCAUUUGAAUCCAUGACCUCAAAACGUUCU